UACAGAGGGGGCAAGCGUUGUUCGGAAUUACUGGGCGUAAAGGGCGCGUAGGCGGCCAUCUAAGUCAGACGUGAAAUCCCCCGGCUUAACCUGGGAACUGCGUCUGAUACUGGACGGCUUGAGUAUGGGAGAGGGAUGUAGAAUUCCAGGUGUAGCGGUGAAAUGCGUAGAUAUCUGGAGGAAUACCGGUGGCGAAGGCGGCAUCCUGGACCAUUACUGACGCUGAGGCGCGAAAGCGUGGGGAGCAAACAGG
rnacentral:rRNA from 1 species